rnacentral:other from 1 species
CAGAUUCUGCGAUAUGCGUGAUGCGGCAGUGUCAGGAGCCGAACCAACACAAUCCAAUCGGGAGUUCAGCCAGGCGGCGUGGAAGUGAUAGCCCUCUCCGGGCAAGACCGAAGCGCCCAGCGGACACCCACCUGUUUCAAGCGGUUCAUGCCCACACACCACACGGUAGGUGCGGAGUCAAA